GUUAUUUUUAAAUAUUAUCGUUCUUUUUCAACAUCAUCAUUCUUUUUCAAUUUUAAUCAAUCUUUUCAGUAUUAUCAAUCUUCUCUAUAUUAUUUCAUACCUAUCAUUGUUUCAAUAUUAUCUGUCUUUUCAAUAUUGUCAAUCUUUUCGAUAUUAUCAUUCUUUUUCAAUAUUAUUAAUCUUUUCAAUAUUAUCGUUUUUUUCAAUAUUAUCAUUCUUCUCGAUACUCUUUCUUAUUUAUCAUUCUUUUUAAAAUAUUGUCAUUUUUUUAUAUUAUCAUUCCUUUCUAUAUUAUUUCCUAUCCAUCACUCUUUUCGAGUUCAUCUUUCUUAUCCCUCGUUCUUCUGUCUUUUUAAAGAAAUCUAUCUAUCUAUCUAUCUAUCUAUCUAUCUAUCUAUCUAUCUAUCUAUCUAUCUAUCUAUCUAUCUAUCUAUCUAUCUAUCUAUCAGCGUUGCAGUACCUCGACCGUCCACUGAGUGACGCUGUAGCCCGCAACUUCAGGACUGUACCACCGGCCACGCAGCCCACCAGCCGGCCGCGGUCGCUUCCACGUUCCGCUUCCUCCAGGCUGAACCACCGCGCUCUCUCCGUGCGGGGUGACAGCUCCAGGGCCUCUCUGUCUGAACCGUUACUCUGAAAAAAAAAAAAAGAAGCUCUUAUCACAGGUGGGUGUGGGCCGCUCACCGCGUCGUUCUAAACAGAAAUAUAUUCAUCUUAAAAAUAAAAAAGUAAGACCGUGACCCAGAAAUUCCCGCUUUAAUCGGGUCACCGUGCUCGUUUUCAUCCCUUAAUGACAAUGGCACCUCUCACUGUCCCUUUCAUGAUGGAAGACUCACUUUUUUUCUCUCUGCCUUCAAACCUGUAGUCUGAAGAGGAAGCGUUUUCAGCUGGACAUCCUUUGCAUGUGUUUUCAGCCAUUCCUGCCUGGUUACAGCUUUUCUCUUUUUUAAUCUAUUUGAAGGGUUUGUUCUUGGUUCCACCAAUGCAAAUGUGGGCCUACAGCCAACUGGGAUGAAUUCUAGAGUAGAACCUAAACAGAUGGGAAACGGUAUAAAGGUGAAUGCAAGGUCAACCUGAGCUUUGGUGAUAUGGCUGUGGGCACUGCUCAUAGCAGUGUUUCAAAAGUUGACUUAAGAAAACAGAUUGUCUGGUCAGACUAAACUCUUAAGACCAUAUUGGGCCAUUUUUUUUCUUUUGUGUAGAUUGCCACAGGCAGGAGCAGCAGACACCAAAUGGUCAAAAAAUUGUUAACAUUAUGUUUGUCUGGAAACCAGCAGAACGGGGGUGUUGGUUUCCAGCGGGUGGGUUUUUUUUUUUCUUUGUCCCUCCUUUGUGAUUUUUUUCUUUAUUUUCUUAUUCUCUUUCCUUUGCUAACCCAGAUUUUUUUGUAUUUUCACAGCUGAUUUGUCCUGUGGGACUGAAAUGAACCAGAAAAGGUUGAAGAACUCUGCAUGCAGGAGCCAAAGGAGCAGGAGCAGCGCAGUGCAAAAGGAGGCUUAUCCAAUGCCGUGAAAGCAAAAGGUAAAGAAAGAAAGAAAGAAAGAAAGGCUUUCUGCAACACCAGCGUUUCCUCUGAAGGACUUCCCACUGAAAUCCUCACGUGUGGAUUAUUUCCACAUUAUUUGCUGCUGAAUUCCAAAAGUUCCUGUUGACUAGCAACAGCACUUCUGUCACACUGACUGUCUUGUCUAAAUGUUUAUGUGCAAAACGUUUUUUUUUCUCUUUAGAAAAUAAAAUACAUUUUUAAAAAAAGUUUUUUUUUUUUAAAUAAAAUCUAAAAGGCACUUUCAUUGUUGUGAAAAUAUUGUGAAUUUCCUUGGUGCUACUGCUUUCACAUUUAAAAAAAAAUAAAAAAUAAAAUAUGCUUUUAUUUUAUUUUACUUUUUGUGCAGGUGGAAAAUUGAAAAAAAAUGAACAAAAGAGAAGCAAAAUGGGGUUUAAAAAACAUUUAGCGUGCACCAUAAAAUUACAAUAAGUAAAUAUGUGAUAUAAAAGUGUGCUGAAUGAAUUUAUCUAUGGGUAAAAACCGGCUUGUCGGGAGAAGUUUCCCAAUGUUAUCAGUAGUUUCAGCUCAAGAAUACCUUGAGGUGUUUUGAGUGUAAAUCCGUCUAAAGCUGCCAGCACUGACAUACACAGCAUAUGCUAAAUACAGAUAAGAGUAUUUUUAAUAGAUCGGCAAAAAGUCUCCCACAUCGCUCAAUGGAUGUGCUUUGAAUGUAGUAGAUAAGUUGGCUUAAGCUGAAUGCUGCAUCCCAGCGCAACAUUGUGCAACUGGGUGAGCCCAUCACAAACUAGCCUUCCAGUAAAGACCACUUCCAGGGGAGGGAUUAUAGAAAAGCCUUCGAGAUCAGCUUCAUGUCUUACUAGAGUUUCUGAUUAUUAAUAGUGCUACGUGACAGAAAAAAAUAGGCGUUGGCGAGGAUCAUGCGGAAAAAUAUCUUAAGCCAUUUAUUUACCUACAAUGUCAAACUGAAAGGAGAAAUGAUCCUAAAUUUUGUUUUCUAACUUUUUCCUAACUUUUUAUUCUUAAACAUGCUCUGCUGAACUGGACUAUUUUAUCUUUCUAAAAUGGAUUAACUUUACCUUUUGAUUAUGAAGAGGGAAUUCUCUCACCUCCUGCUGAGUUACUUUAUUUUUAAAUAAAUAAAAAGGAAAAUAAAUGUCACGGUGAAACAAUUAAGAAAAGGUAGACGGGUGGGUAGACGGAACAGUGGGAUUUGACUGGUUUUGUUUCUUUUAGCGCUCCGCAGGUCAUCUGAUUGUGAGGUUUGAAGAAAUGAGAGGGGCUGAUAAGCCUCUUUUAUGCUUACAAGCCACUUAGAGAGCUGAAGCACCGACUUCUGUUGGAGGAAAACAAGUCAUUUGUGCAGGACGAAAUUGCUUCUCUCUAAAAUGUGUUCCUCUAAAUCCCAAUCGUGUGGCAUUAGUUACUUUGUUUAAAAUGUUUUUUUUCAUUCAUUUUCAUCCCCUAUUUUGAUGUUUUAAAUCACCGCUGAUGCUCUGAAAUAAUCUGUUUUGAUCUUCUCUGAAUUAUGUCAGAUUUAUUACUGCAAAGUAAUAAUCCUUAAAUAUUCUCGCCUUACUCUGGGCGCACUACACAAAUAAAAUAGAAUCCAAAAUUGCAUUUCAUUCAGUAAUAUGGAGAUGUCCUCAGUUCCCACUAAAAGUCACGAGGGCAUCUCUUCUCUGCCGUCUUAAUAAGGCAGUUCUGCAGGCCUCUACUGUAAUAUAUUUCCCCAAUAAUGCAAUUCCAAAGCCAGCCUGGCCUUUUGACCGCCACUGAGGAUGUGGAAAGCAGCAGGCCGCCUUUGCUAACUAGGCUUACUCUCUAAUAUUAGAUACCUGUCCCUUGGCUUUUCAGAGGGGGGCUUAGCUGUUGAUAUUUUCAUUUGGUCCUGCCAAGAUGCGACACCCCCGCUUUAAUCUUGUGUUUGACGUUAAGCGCCCUGUUCAUGAAGAGUCUCGGUGAACUCCAACCCUCCUGGUGCUGCUGUCAUACUAAAAAUGAUGUGGCGGGGUGCGGAGCCAGUUGGUGUAUCCUUGACCUCGCUCAUUGGUCUGCCAAAGUCUCUCCCCUGCCCUUCCUAAUCAGGUGGGACCCUCCAUUUGAGAGCGGGAGAUUGUAUAUUCUCUGUGUCCAGCUGUGUCUUUGGUGGCACAGGUCCCUUUUUUAUGGAAAGAAAAGGACGCUUUAUUUUAACAUGAAUUCCUACAUUUAUUUUUAAUAAUUUCUGAGCCUUGAAAUGAAGGGACAACUUGGCAGUCAGAGGAGUAAUGAAUUUCUCACUAUAUGAGUAACUACCGUCUCACCCAGCCUCCGUGUUUGCAUUUUUCGAGAUGUUGAGGACAAACAAGCCUCUUCUCUGCAAUCAUUAAGGAGCAUUUCCCUACUGAUUGAUGUGUGAAAUCAAUUGCUCCCCAUAGCAUCCAUGUCAGUCUAUUACCGCACUGCCUGGUAAUGACAGGCUGCUCUCCACAAGAUUAUAGAGCAUUGUCACAAAGCAGCAAGACUUGCUUUCCUUUGUCUGACCCGCUGCGUUUCAAGUUAAAAUUCCUUUAUUUUUGCUCUUUUUUUUGGCU